rnacentral:rRNA from 1 species
AAUCAACGCUGGCGGCGUGCCUCAGACAUGCAAGUCGAACGAUUAAAGCUCUCUUCGGAGAGUGCAUAGAGUGGCGCACGGGUGAGUAACACGUAAGUAAUCUACCUUCGAGUGGGGAAUAACGUCCGGAAACGGACGCUAAUACCGCAUAAUGCAGCGGCAUCGUAAGAUGACAGUUGUUAAAGAUUUAUCGCUUGAAGAGGAGCUUGCGGCAGAUUAGCUAGUUGGUAAGGUAAUGGCUUACCAAGGCUACGAUCUGUAACCGGUCUUAGAGGACGGUCGGUCACACUGACACUGAAUAACGGGUCAGACUCCUACGGGAGGCAGCAGUCGGGAAUUUUGGGCAAUGGGCGAAAGCCUGACCCAGCAACGCCGCGUGAAGGAUGAAGUAUUUCGGUAUGUAAACUUCGAAAGAAUAGGAAGAAUAAAUGACGGUACUAUUAUAAGGUCCGGCUAACUACGUGCCAGCAGCCGCGGUAAU